CGGGGGAGGCCGGAUCCUGGGCUGUGUCCCGGCGCCCUGUGCUCCGGGCCUUCACUGUUGUAUUCGGGCUCCUGGCGGCGCAACCCCCU
rnacentral:pre_miRNA from 1 species